ACCUGCCAGAAUUGUCGAUACGGAUAUGACAAAACUAAUGUAUAAUAAUAAAUAAUCAAUUAGGUCGACAAAAUAUCCUGUUCUGUUGCAAGAAGAAAGACAAUUCGGUAGAGGCGCUGGUGGUAACACCUACGCAAGGAG
ncrna:unclassified sequences lysM-TM7 RNA